rnacentral:lncRNA from 1 species
ACAUGGGCUGCAAAACUUGCACUGCUUAAUCUGACAACCAACAUCGUCCAUACUGGUUUCGCAACCAACAAACCGACAAACUGGAUACUCUCUACUAGGGUAGAAACUUGGCUGUGAGGAGGUACUGUAAGAAGGUACUGCGAAUUCGGUUGCUCAAAACUGAAUUCAACAAUACUCCAGUUUAUUUUUUGGAUAACUCAUUCGAUCAUGCAAACUUGAGCUAUCGCUUGCUAAAUUUUCAUACUGCCUAUUCUAUAAUGGUUCGCAUGCUCCGCCGGCCUCCCAAUGCAAAUUCAACCAACACUAUGUAUUUUCAAAUCUUUCCAUCCAUCUGUCCCAUUCUCCCCUUCAAGAAAAUAGAUUAAGCCCAUUUAUCGAGCUCAUUAUCAAAUAUAACGUAAUGCAGGCUACUUUACAGUAAAACAUUAAUUGGUUCCUCUCUACCAUUUUUUCCUUAUACUCUUCGAACACAGUACGAUAUACAAUACACAAUACCAUACAAUAUACAAUAAUACCAUACACGGUUUAUGAUCAUGUGUCGUGUUUCAUCAAGCCAUUAGGCAUCAAAAUCAACAGUCAUUAAUAUCGCCAUUGUUACUGCCAUAGCAGAAAGCAAAGCUUUGUUUAACGAAUUUGCAUAAACUGGCCCAUCCGUCCCACAUCUUUGCAAAUGCUUCCUUUAGCACAGUUUUUAUUUCAUUUCUCUUGUUUAUACACUCUACACACGCUUCCUUCUCUUACUGUAAGAAAAGUGGAUUCGGCUUGAUUGCGCACAUGCAAACAAUUUCCAAUAUUCGCGGGGUCCUUCUAUCUCUCUCGCUUAAUAUAAGGUUUUUAUCUAGCGAUAUUCACGCAGGAUUGCGUUAAAUGCAUGGCAAAAGUUCAUGCCAAGUAAACAAUACACCAUUCCAAAAUCGCAACUUCUUUAGGACGAACAUUUUGAUUCAACUCUUCUCUCGUUUACAUUUCAACUUUUUUCGUCGACUUUACUAAAUUAAACAUUUUUUUAUUUUUACAUCUCUUUUCAUGUUCUCUUUAUAACUAAACUACUCCUCUCUUCAUUUUCCCUUUACAACUACUUUUUUCCGGAUUCUGCUUGCAUAUCAUUCAUUAAAGAGUUCUAUCCAUACACACCUUCCCUCCUUUCUUGACUUUCUAUUCAUUAUCCAAUGGACGAUUAAAUCCACCGGGUCGGUUCAUAUACUGUCUAUACUUGGUUUUCUUUUGCUUGUACACCUGGCCCACGUCUCCAUGCUUCUUCCCCGUCGUUGUGUCAAAUCCCGAAAAUCCCAUAAUACGUUUCAUCUCUGCCGUCGCUUCAUCCUCUUGUUCCACAAUUUCUUCCUCAGCGCUCUUUGUCCUCGUCAUCGCAUCGUGGCUUUUUCCUACUUCCAAAGACCCAUCCUUAUCCUCCUUUACUCCAUCCAUCUUGUCGCCUUGAUCAACAGGCCUUUCUUCCUCUUCUUUUGGAGAUGGUGCUUGCAAUUUUUCAUGCUCUCUUUUCCUUUCCAACCCCUCCCCUUCAGGAGAAAAGGGUGAGACACCGUCUCUUCGUUCCUUCCGAUCCCGUCGACCUUCAUAGUCUCGCUCUCGAAAUCUUUCUCGGCCAUGCUUCAGCUCCGGUUGCCAGUUUCGUUCAUGCUCUACUGGACGCCUAGGGCUUUCCUCUCGCACAGACUCUCGAUGCCUUUCGUAACGAUCGCGUCUUCUAGCUGGACUGUAAUCUCUACGUUGUGAAUCCUCGUAACGUCUACUACUUCUCUCGUCUCUAUAAUUUCGACGAUAUUCACGAUAAUCCCUGUCUCGUUGAUCACCGCGUGAGCGACUGGAUUCGUAAUUUCGGCCUUGCGCAUAAUUUCGACGGUGUUCACCGCUUCUUGACGAAGACAUUGCUACUAUACCAAAAAGGAAUCCCCGAUUAUCUUCUCCAAAACUUUUCAAC